rnacentral:lncRNA from 1 species
GUAAGGCGGCAAGUGUCUCAGUGUCAAUGUGCCCGGCGCUUCCAGGUGGAACAGAUCAGUGCCAACCGCUACCGAUUUGGGGAAUCCCAGCAGCUUCGACUGGUGCGGAUCCUACGAAGCUGCCUCAUGGUCCGUGUUGGAGGUGGCUGGAUUGCACUAGAUGAAUUCCUGGUCAAGAAUGAUCCUUGCAGAGUGAAAAGCCGAACUAACCUGAAGAUUAAUGAGAAGUUCCUGACUCCAGAUGGAACUCCUGACCCCCCUCACAAAACCUUAUCUCGGAGCUGCUCUGCCUCUAAUCUCAGCCUCUCCAGCAGUGCCUCAGCCCCCAACAGUCCCCAAGCCCGAAAGUCAGUUCUUCGGAGAACCAGGUCUGGGGACAGGGCACCCCGCCCCUUCAGCACUACAUUGCUCACUGACAGCAAGCCCAGAACAACUACAGAGGUAUCAGUGAAAAGCAAGCCAAUUGGGGUACCUGUGGGCACAGGGCAGGUGCCAGACUCAGAAAGCACAGAGCAGAUUCAAGAAGACACACAGCAGGCACCAGAGGAGUCAGAACAUAUACCGGAAAAAGCAAAAGAGGAAACAACAGAAGAGACAAAGAAGGCAUCAAAAACAGAGCAGGCACUGGAGAGCAAAGAUUGGGCCACAGAGAAAACAGAAAGGGCAGGUGGGAAAGAGGGAAGGGAGAUAUUGGAAGGCACAGGGCAGGCAUUAGAGAAAAAAACAGAGCAGACACUGGAGGAGACAGCUCAGGUACUAGAAACAGAAUGGGCAACAGAGGGCACAGGACAAGCACUGGAGAAGGAAACACAGCAGACACUGGAAGAGACAGCUCAGGUACUAGAGACAGAGUGGGCACUGAAAGGCACAGGCCAGGUGCUAGUGAAAGAAGCACAGAAUGAAUUAAAGGGGAUUAAGCAAGUCCUAGAGGCAGAGCAGGCACCAGAAUGGAAAGAAAGGACACUGGAGAAGGCAAAGUGGACACUGGAGGGGAUACAACAGGAACCAAAGGCACUGGAGAAGGGAGAGAAUCUACAUGGGAAAGAGGCAGAGCAGGCACUAAAGGAUAUAGAGUGGGCACCAGAAUGGAAGGAGAGGACCCUAGAAGGGACAAAAGAGGGAUCGAAGGAGGAGACAAAGGUGGCUGGGAAAGAAGCAUUAGAACAGUCAUUACAGGAAACAGAGAGGACAAAGCCGGCAGCAGAGGGCACAGAGUGGGCACCAGAAAAGCUAGAAAGCACAGUAGAGGGCAUAGAGAGGGCAUCGGGACACGUAGAGCAAGAACUGGAGGGGAAGGAGCAGCUACCAGAGCAGAGGAAGAAUGAACCAGAGGAGAGAGAGCAGGAGCUGGAGAGCACAGGAAUAAAGCCUAGGCAGAACUGAGCUGUGGACCAAUCAGAAGAUCAAUUGCUGAGGGUUAAGAGCCCAGGGCUUUUAGGGCUGCGUGGGGGUAACCCCCGGAAGAGACUACAUCUAUCACAGCUCCUUCCCUCCCCCCGCCCCCCAGCGCUCAGGGACUGUUGACCUCCUGCUGUGCGUGUGGAGCGGGGCGGGGCACCUGACGGCUUUCACCUAGGAGAAUCUGAUGGGCAUGCCCAGCUCUAAGCAGGCUGGACGGACGUCUGUGUGUCCGCAUGUUUGUGUACUCCCUGCUGGCAGCAGAGGUCCUGCCCUCAGUGGCUUAGGUCUCCCGCUACCCUCACACCUCAGCAAUAAAGUUUUAUAUAAACGCUAAUUACUUUUGUGG